rnacentral:lncRNA from 1 species
GCACCCACGCGGCGCAGCUCCCAAAGUUGCAGACAGCCCGGCGAACCGCGCAAUGCGCUUCUUCUGCCUGCAGCAGAGAAAAGGAAAGAAAACUCCGCAGGGGCUCCGUUGGCUUCUCCACGAGUGACAACCAUGUUUUCCCAGAUAGAAGACCGGAGCCCUGCUCCUUUGCGAUCCGCCGAGGGCUGCAGAGAGCAUCCUCAUCCAUUUGGGCACCCCUGCCCAGGAAGAGCCCGGCCAUCCCUUUCCGGACUGGAUCCUUAAGAGGUGAAUUUUCUUCCGUGGAUUCCGAUUUGCUCCGUCUGACCAGCCUAGGCAAUCCAGCAUCGCGUGGUACCAGUGCCGCUGGGCACACUGGCUUCACGCCGGCUCCGCCUCACCAGCAAGCGCAUUCCCAGAUGGAGUCUCACUCUCUCGCCCAGACUGGAGUGCAGUGAAGCAAUCUCAGCUCACUGCAACCUCCACCCUCCCGGGUUCAAGUAAUUCUCCUGCUUCAGCCUCCUGAGUAGCUAGGAUUACAGGCAUGCACCAUCAUACCUGGCUGUAGCCCUUAUUUUAAAUUCAAUGUACUGUAAUGAUUUACUUGGUUUAUUGUCUUAACUUUCUGUUCCACUGGAAUACAGGUUCAAUAAGGAGGGAUUUUAAUCAAUUUUGUUCUCUGAAGUGUCUUCAGAACCAAAUGAGUAAAAAAUUAUCAUUGUUGACGUUUUCACUUCGUGCUAGCAUAUGGGCAAUCUCAAUUUAUUUCUAAUAACUCCCUGUAUCUUUCAGAGCAUUCCUUCAUGAAUGAAGAAAGCCCUGAUAGUGUUCCAGUAAUUUAUGUUUUUUAUGUUUGAAUUUCUUAACAAAAAGAAUUAUACCACUAAAA